GGCCCUAUAACUUUGAAACACCGUUUCUCGUACGAUCACCGAAGUUAAGCAACGUCAAGCCUAGCCAAUGCUUAGAUUGGUGACCACUUGGGAAUAUCACGUGGUGUAA